AUUCCUCGAAGCAAGUUAAUUAUUAAAGGGAACAGGUGAAAAUAUAGUCUUGAGGUUUGAUUAAACUAAAAUUGGUCUAGUCAGAGAGUAGGGUGGGGAAGAGGUUUUCAAGAAUUCCAAUCAGCCCCUGAUGAUACUGCGGAGACCUAAGUUGCCUUGGAAUCUGCAAUCAAUAUAGAAAACACCAGAAGUAUAGAGGAGUGACGGCUCUGGAUUCCACUGCAGCAGGGCCUAGAGAACGAGAAAGGCAUCCUGAAACUUUAAGAACACUGCAUCUCUGUGUUGACAGCCGACUUUAAAACAGGAACUGAGGCAAGAGAGGAAAAGUGGCCAGCCUAGGGUCACACAGUGCCUGUUCAGACACGUGCCACUUCUAUGCCCAGCGCUGUUUUUAUGACAUAAUUUAGCAUCUCCUUCACACUAGGAAAGCUGCAUCUGGAAGUUGGGGGAGGAGUUAUGGACGGAAAAGCAAGACUGAAGAGUUGAAUACACUGCCUGGCAAAUUGUUUUAAAAUGAGAAAGUCAUACUUCGUUGCAAGGAAGUUCCUGUUUAUGAUACCAGGGAUACACAUGGGAAGCCACAGAAUGAUCCUUGAAGAAAUGCUGAGCACCAGUUAUGUGCUUGGAUGUCGCAGCAUAUGGACUCCUGUGUGACUGGCCCUACCCCUACACUUCAGAGAGCACACAGAAACAGAACAAUCCAAUCAGACGUGCAUUUGCCUGUCUAUGGUAUGUACAAGUGUCAAUGCAUUAUUCAUCGAUUGCAUCAGUUUACCAAUUUAAUUAAUUCUUCCACUUGCUCAGUGCCUAGCCUGUGCCUUUCAGGCCCCUCCAGUACAGGCCCUGUGACCACCCAGAAAAGCACUGACCUCAGCUUAGUUCAUGUAGUAAAAUAUAGUAAUAAAAACAGCAGCUAACACUCAUGGACUUCUUUCUUGUGCCAAGUAUUUUGCUAAGCACUCCACUCUUGUCUUAUUUAAUUUUCAGAGAAAUUUCUUGAGAUAGAAAUUGUUAUUAUCUCCAUUUUACAAAUGGGGAAACUGAGGUUUGGAGAAGUUAAAUGUCUUCCCAGAGUCACAUAGCUAGGGAGGGCCAGAGUCAAGACGACCCAGGUAAUCUGGUUCAAGCCCACCCUCUGAACCAGUCCCCUCUACUGCCUUAUUAGCUUCUGAUGGCUACGACAGCUUCACUGGUGACCCUUGCUCAUGUUCAUGGCAGGAUGAUCAGUGGAAAUCCCUCGUUGGACUCAGAGCUGUCACUCAUAAAGACCUGUCCUCAGGAGUUGCACACCUCCAUUCUGACUCUGCACAAGUGUCCCCCAGGAAUGUUCCAUGCUGUGCAGCUGGCACUAAUUCCCCUCUGCACAGCUUCUCCUUUCAGUAUCACAGACACCCUCAGAGGUGGACAGGGUGGGCCUUUCUAUAUCCACUCAACAAAUGGGGGAACUGGGCCUAACAGGGGUAAAGAAACUUGUCAAGGUCACUGCAAAUGUUUGGUGGAGCUGGGAUGCUAGCCCAGUUUUCUAAAGACAAGGCUAUCUUCUAUUGCUGGUGCCACAACAAAGAACUAACACAGAAAGUACAUAACAAAGAAAAGGAAGGAGAUCGCCGGGCGCGGUGGCUCAAGCCUGUAAU